rnacentral:sRNA from 1 species
CAUGAUCAGACCUACGUGAACUUCAGAUCAUCCUCGGGAAGGUGCGCCCACUUUCACGCUAUCUCACCGAGGCU